UGUCCAUAUCCUGCUGAAACAUCGGUUCUCAUACAAUUACUGAAGUUAAGCAAUGUUGAGCGUAGUAAAUACAUAGAUGGGUGACCAUUUGGGAAUAGUAGGUGCUGUAA